rnacentral:misc_RNA from 1 species
UAGGUCAGCGCCCUGUCAG